rnacentral:rRNA from 1 species
UUAAGUUAAUAAGGGCGCACGGUGGAUGCCUUGGCACAAGGAGCCGACGAAGGACGUGACAAACGACGAUAUGCCUUGGGUAGCUGUAAGUAAGCGAUGAUCCAGGGAUUUCCGAAUGGGGGAACCCAACAGGUAAUACCUGUUACCUACAUCUGUUAAGGAUGUGAGGAGGAAGACGCAGUGAACUGAAACAUCUAAGUAGCUGCAGGAAGAGAAAGCAAAAGCGAUUGCCUUAGUAGCGGCGAGCGAAACGGCAGAAGGGCAAACCGAAGAGUUUACUCUUCGGGGUUGUAGGACUGCAAUGUGGACUCAAAGAUUAUAGAAGAAUGAUUUGGGAAGAUCAGCCAAAGAGAGUAAUAGCCUCGUAUUUAAAAUAGUCUUUGUACUUAGCAGUAUCCUGAGUACGGCGGGACACGUGAAAUCCCGUCGGAAUCUGGGAGGACCAUCUCCCAACCCUAAAUACUCCCUAGUGACCGAUAGUGAACCAGUACCGUGAGGGAAAGGUGAAAAGCACCCCGGGAGGGGAGUGAAAUAGAACCUGAAACCGUGUGCCUACAACAAGUUCGAGCCCGUUAAUGGGUGAGAGCGUGCCUUUUGUAGAAUGAACCGGCGAGUUACGUUAUGAUGCGAGGUUAAGUUGAAGAGACGGAGCCGUAGGGAAACCGAGUCUGAAUAGGGCGCCUUAGUAUCAUGACGUAGACCCGAAACCAUGUGACCUACCCAUGAGCAGGUUGAAGGUGCGGUAAGACGCACUGGAGGACCGAACCAGGGCACGUUGAAAAGUGCUUGGAUGACUUGUGGGUAGCGGAGAAAUUCCAAACGAACUUGGAGAUAGCUGGUUCUCUCCGAAAUAGCUUUAGGGCUAGCGUCGACAUUAGAGAUUCUUGGAGGUAGAGCACUGUUUGGGUGAGGGGUCCAUCCCGGAUUACCAAUCUCAGAUAAACUCCGAAUGCCAAUGAAUUAUGGUCGGCAGUCAGACUGCGAGUGCUAAGAUCCGUAGUCGAAAGGGAAACAGCCCAGACCACCAGCUAAGGUCCCAAAAUAAUUGUUAAGUGGAAAAGGAUGUGGGGUUGCACAGACAACUAGGAUGUUAGCUUAGAAGCAGCUAUUCAUUCAAAGAGUGCGUAAUAGCUCACUAGUCGAGUGACCCUGCGCCGAAAAUGUACCGGGGCUAAAACAAUUUACCGAAGCUGUGGAUACCUUUAUAGGUAUGGUAGGAGAGCGUUCUAUGUGUGAUGAAGGUAUACCGUGAGGAGUGCUGGAACGCAUAGAAGUGAGAAUGCCGGUAUGAGUAGCGAAAGACAGGUGAGAAUCCUGUCCACCGUAAGACUAAGGUUUCCAGGGGAAGGCUCGUCCGCCCUGGGUUAGUCGGGACCUAAGGAGAGACCGAAAGGUGUAUCCGAUGGACAACAGGUUGAUAUUCCUGUACUAGAGUAUGUAGUGAUGGAGGGACGCAGUAGGCUAACUAAAGCAGACGAUUGGAAGAGUCUGUCUAAGCAGUGAGGUGUGAAUUGAGUCAAAUGCUUAAUUCUAUAACAUUGAGCUGUGAUGGGGAGCGAAGUUUAGUAGCGAAGUUAGUGACGUCACACUGCCAAGAAAAGCUUCUAGCGUUUAAACAUACUCUACCCGUACCGCAAACCGACACAGGUAGUCGAGGCGAGUAGCCUCAGGUGAGCGAGAGAACUCUCGUUAAGGAACUCGGCAAAAUGACCCCGUAACUUCGGGAGAAGGGGUGCUGACUUUAAGUCAGCCGCAGUGAAUAGGCCCAAGCAACUGUUUAUCAAAAACACAGCUCUCUGCUAAAUCGUAAGAUGAUGUAUAGGGGGUGACGCCUGCCCGGUGCUGGAAGGUUAAGAGGAGUGCUUAGCGUAAGCGAAGGUAUGAAUUGAAGCCCCAGUAAACGGCGGCCGUAACUAUAACGGUCCUAAGGUAGCGAAAUUCCUUGUCGGGUAAGUUCCGACCCGCACGAAAGGCGUAAUGAUUUGGGCACUGUCUCAACGAGAGACUCGGUGAAAUUUUAGUACCUGUGAAGAUGCAGGUUACCCGCGACAGGACGGAAAGACCCCAUGGAGCUUUACUGCAGUUUGAUAUUGAGUGUCUGUACCACAUGUACAGGAUAGGUAGGAGUCUAAGAGAUCGGGACGCCAGUUUCGAAGGAGACGCUGUUGGGAUACUACCCUUGUGUUAUGGCCACUCUAACCCAGAUAGGUGAUCCCUAUCGGAGACAGUGUCUGACGGGCAGUUUGACUGGGGCGGUCGCCUCCUAAAAGGUAACGGAGGCGCCCAAAGGUUCCCUCAGAAUGGUUGGAAAUCAUUCGCAGAGUGUAAAGGUAUAAGGGAGCUUGACUGCGAGAGCUACAACUCGAGCAGGGACGAAAGUCGGGCUUAGUGAUCCGGUGGUUCCGUAUGGAAGGGCCAUCGCUCAACGGAUAAAAGCUACCCUGGGGAUAACAGGCUUAUCUCCCCCAAGAGUUCACAUCGACGGGGAGGUUUGGCACCUCGAUGUCGGCUCGUCGCAUCCUGGGGCUGUAGUCGGUCCCAAGGGUUGGGCUGUUCGCCCAUUAAAGCGGCACGCGAGCUGGGUUCAGAACGUCGUGAGACAGUUCGGUCCCUAUCCGUCGCGGGCGUAGGAAAUUUGAGAGGAUCUGCUCCUAGUACGAGAGGACCAGAGUGGACUUACCGCUGGUGUACCAGUUGUCUUGCCAAAGGCAUCGCUGGGUAGCUAUGUAGGGAAGGGAUAAACGCUGAAAGCAUCUAAGUGUGAAACCCACCUCAAGAUGAGAUUUCCCAUGAUUAUAUAUCAGUAAGAGCCCUGAGAGAUGAUCAGGUAGAUAGGUUAGAAGUGGAAGUGUGGCGACACAUGUAGCGGACUAAUACUAAUAGCUCGAGGACUUAUCCAA